CCUACGGGUGGCAGCAGUGAGGAAUAUUGGUCAAUGGACGAGAGUCUGAACCAGCCAAGUAGCGUGAAGGAUGACUGCCCUAUGGGUUGUAAACUUCUUUUAUAUGGGAAUAAAAUGUUCCACGUGUGGGAUUUUGUAUGUACCAUAUGAAUAAGGAUCGGCUAACUCCGUGCCAGCAGCCGCGGUAAUACGGAGGAUCCGAGCGUUAUCCGGGUUUAUUGGGUUUAAAGGGAGCGUAGGUGGAUUGUUAAGUCAGUUGUGAAAGUUUGCGGCUCAACCGUAAAAUUGCAGUUGAAACUGGCAGUCUUGAGUACAGUAGAGGUGGGCGGAAUUCGUGGUGUAGCGGUGAAAUGCUUAGAUAUCACGAAGAACUCCGAUUGCGAAGGCAGUUCACUGGACUGCAACUGACACUGAGGCUCGAAAGUGUGGGUAUCAAACAGGAUUAGAUACCCUAGUAGUC
rnacentral:rRNA from 1 species